AUGGGAAUACAAGUUGCAUAUUUUCCUAACACCCAUCACUGGUGGCUCACUGGCGUUUAUGGCCCGCAAGGAGAUGAUGACAAGAUUGCUUUCCUCGGUGACCUUAGUGAGGUCCGAUCGUUGCGUGCUGGCCCUUGGAUCCUCGGGGGCGACUUUAACAUGAUCUCAGGGGCGCUCAAUCACCGGGUCAUGUCGUGGUUCCGCCGCUUCCUCGCUGAUGAGGAACUGCGCGAUAUUUACCUGCACGGGCGGCGAUAUACUUGGUCAAGCGAACGUGGCACCCCAACCCUCACGCGCAUUGACCGGGUGAUCUGUAAUUCUGCAUGGGAGGCGCUCCACCCGCAUUGCAUGCUACGCUGCCUCUCCCACGCAGCGUCCGAUCAUGCGCCUCUCCUUCUCGACUGCACCGCGCGCUCGCCUGGCACGCGGAGAUUCCACUUCGAAAGAUUCUGGCCGCGCACUGACGGCUACACGCAGGUCGUGCUCGAGGCCUGGGCUAUUGCGGCUGAUGAGCCGGACCCCUUCCGCAGGUUGGUGGCAUGCCUCAAGAACACAGCGCGGCGUCUCCAAAGCUGGAGCGCGAAGAAGAUUGGGGACGUGUCUCGACAGCUCCUUGUCGCUCGUGAGCUGAUUGCGCGCCUUGAUGCGGCGCAGGACUUUCAGCCCCUCUCCCCGGCCGAGGCCUGGCUGCGUAGGCGCCUCAAAGGGGCGUAUCUGGGGCUGGCGUCGCUCGAGCGCUCGAUCUCACGCCAGCGUGUCAGACUCUCCUGGUUGUGGGACGGCGACGCGGGUCAGAAGUUCUUCAGGGUGCAUGCAGCGCACCGCAAGCAAAAGAACCGGAUCUUCGAGUUGCAGGUCGGAGACACAUCCAUCUCCGACCCGGCCGCUCUUGCUGAAGCUGCUUACCGUCACUUCUCCGGCAUCCUUGGAUCGGCGAAGCCGCGGCCUUUCUCCUUAGACCUCUCCGCGCUCCACGUUGGGCCAUUCGACCUCUCCAGCCUCGACGCACCUUUCUCCGAGGGCGAGAUUUGGGCUGCGAUUAAAAGCUUGCCGCUUGGGAAGGCGCCUGGCCCCGAUGGUUUCACCGCCGAAUUCCUCCGGAGUGCGUGGGACGUGAUCAAGCAUGACAUUUGCGCCGUCUUUGAUAAGCUUUACGCACUCAACGGGCGCGGUUUCCAGAGGCUCAAUGAGGCGCUCCUCACCCUCCUUCCGAAGAAGCAAGAUGCGGCAUCUCUCUUCGACUAUCGCCCCAUUAGUCUUAUCCAUCUCAUUGCAAAGCUGUUCGCGAAGGCGCUCUCUCUUCGGCUGGCACCUCACCUGGGCAAGCUGGUCUCUACCAAUCAAAGCGCAUUCAUCGCCGGCCGAAGCAUCCACGACAACUUCCUCCUUGUUCAACAGACGGCUAGACUUCUUCAUAACCUCAAGAUGCCGCGGAUGCUCCUCAAGCUCGACAUCGCGAGGGCUUUCGACUCGGUGGCAUGGCCCUUUCUGCUGGACACGCUGAGGCUUUGGGAACCGAUGGUGCGAAUGGAUCUCCAUCCUGCUAUCUACCGCAUCGACGCGUGUGCUUGUCAAUGGCAUCCCCGGGCCACCAAUUCUUCACGCGUGCGGGCUGCGGCAAGGGGACCCCAUUUCCCCAAUGCUCUUCGUCAUCGUUAUCGACGUGCUCAACUCGCUCCUUCAGCGAGCCGUCGAGCGCGGCCUCCUCCAGCAGCUGACCGCUCGGCACCUGCCAUCGAGCGUCUCCCUCUACGCUGA
rnacentral:rRNA from 1 species